UAGUUCUCCCUAGAAACUACUGCAAUGAAUGGAAGAGCUGUAAGUGUAGAAACAGCUCUAAGAAGUGGGGAUGUAGAGAAAAUAAUGCAUUGGCACACGGAUGCUAAUUACCAGGUCUUAUUAAUGUAAAUUGGAGUUUGGAAUCUUUGCUACUUUGUAGGCAGGAAGCAGUGUUUUAUAAAGGUAAGAAAGCCACAUUAUUACUUGGUAUUGCAAGGGUGAAGCCUUGGAUUUGACUGCAGCUGCUUUUGCUCCAAUAGUCUUGUAGAAGCUGCAAGAUUAAAGUGAUCUUUCAAAAUAACAGUCAUGGUGAAAGGUCACAAAAUUUCAAUUAUAAGUGUAUGUAGUCCUGAUACCUUAAAGAACUCUGGAAAGACACAUCAUCACCCUGAAAAAAAGGGCAGAGAGUCCAAUAAUGUUGUGUCCUUGCAGCCCUUACUUGGAAGAGCUGCACAGAAAUGCUUCCACAACUGCAUAAGAUGCUUCAGUCCUACCACCUCAUUUAAAGUCUCGGCCUUCAGUGUUUGUUCAGAGAUGUGUGCCUGCUUCUAUGAAUAGUCUUAUAUUGUCCCUGUGGGCCUCAUGUAAUGUAGUUCUUGUCAUUUGUCAUUACUCUUUGGGGUGUUGUUUGCACAGGAUGCUCUUUACACCAGGCUUGUGAGAUCACCCAGUCCUCUUGUCCUUUGGAUCACCAACUGCUUAGACUUUGGGCAUUGAAUUGCCUUCAGUAUGUGCUACUUUUAUUAACAGUGAACUGGUAGAAACUUUUGAGUUACCUGAGAUGUUAAAUCCCUUAAUUUUUUUAAGACUGAAGGAGCUGGGUACCCCACCUGAGCUCUGAGCCCCGUUUCUUGUUGGCUCACCUUGCACUGUCUCUGACCUCAACUGCUCCAUUUUCUGGUAGGCUCUUGGAGCAGGUCUUGCAGCUGGGUGCAGGUCUGGCUGCAGCUUCAGGACUUGAAUCUGCUUGCUGGAUCCCAUGGUCUCAUGUGUCUGUGUGAUGUUUUCCAGCUUAUUACAAUCCCCGUGUCCUGGGGGCCACUGAGAUUCAGUAGGAUCUGUGUAGCCUUGAGUCCAGUCAGGAGCCAUGGGGGGAGGCUCCCCUGCCAGCUCCGUUCUGAGCUACAGCAAAAGGAGUUAUAUUACUGGAAGGUGGGCAUCUGUGCAAACUGCAAAAAACCAACAAGGCUGAGAGAGGAAAAUACCCACAAGCUCAGAGUCCAUGAGGACUGUAAGUUGUGCUGUCAGUGCAUGUCAAGGACAAAAAAAGUCUCACAAGAUAAGUCAGACUCCUGAAAGCAACUCUACAGGAUGUGUAUAUAGUCAGCUGUAUUUGGGAUGCUGCUGUGGUGAAAGAAUUUCUCUCCAGUAAUUAUUUAAAAUAGGCUUUAUAGAAGCUCAGUUUGUGCUUUGUUAAGAUUUACAAGACAGAGGGAACACUGAGGCACAGGAUGUGUGUUAUUCCAUUUAUGAUUUUCCUAUGGUGUGAGUCUUGGUACUGCUGGCCAAAGCCUUCACAAGAAGAAAUCUUGUACAUUCCAGAGCAGGCAUGUGCACAGAUGACUUGCAAUUACAGCAAGGUGGUAAUAGAAUUGAUUUUCAGCAUGGAGCCAUGUUACUACUCAGUCUGAAUCAGAAACAUCAUUAGCCAACUUAACUUGUCACAUUUUAGGCUGGUGCACGUUCUUUACAUCAUUUUCCAGAAUACUUGACAGCUAAAACAAGGUGUCUGCCCUCUUAAAGCUCCCUCCCUGCGAGUCAGCGAUACCACAUAAUGCACAGAGGCACCUGUUUAGGCUUCUGAUAAUUUAAGAAAGUUGUAAGAUGAAAUAAUGAGACAAAACAGUAUGAACAAAAUUGUGACAAUUAUUUAAACUGUUCUUCAGGUAUCCCAAAUUAAAUUUAAUCAAAACUAUGAUGUAAAAAUCUCUUAUUUUACCCCUGGCCCAAAGAUUUAAAUUUUUUCCAAGACAGAGAUAGUUGCCCCAAACUACUGCCAAUGUAGAAUGGAAUAGCUGACACCUUUAACUUGAAAAUUUCUGUAUGUCAGUCUUGCCAUUAGGCAGGAAACACCUGAGGUUCAUCAGUCUGUGAGGCUGUCAAAGUCUUGUAACUGGAUUUAUCACAAGUGAUGAUCUGUCAGAUUCUUACAGUGAUGUUCACUGUGGCUCCCAGGCACCUGUUUGACCUCAACAGCUGUCAUCACCUAGAACUCUGAAGUGUCCUGGAGAACCCUGGCUCAAAAUCCAGCAAAUUAAAUUUAGUACAAACCAAGAACUUUAGAGCAUCCUAUUUAAAGAUUUUUUUUUCAGCUUCCUCACCGUCAAAAGUGAGACAUCCUUAGGCUAUUAUUAGUGAAGGUGACAUUUCAUGUUCUGCUUCAUACAUAAAUAUGAAUUUCAAGUAUGGAAGAAUUUAGAAGAGAGCGGAAAAAACAGCCUGAAAAUAAUUUGGGGGGAAGUCAUUAUUAUUUAUCAUCAGGGAAAAUACAUGGCUGGGAAGCUACCUCAUUUCAGUUAUCUCCACAUCUGUGGAGUUUUCAUUUAUAAUAGUUCCUUGUGUGGACUCAGCUGUUAUUUCCUUUUUUUAUUUUCCCUUUAUUACAUAUGUCACUAAAAGGAUGAUUGUGUGGUGGAGGACGAGUAAUUUUACCUCAUUAAAAGAAGUGAGUGAAGGUGUUCUAUAAGACUGGGGCCAUUCAGCUAAUUUUGAAUUACUUUCUCCAGAGUCAAACUGCACUAAAAUCCAGCUCUCGACCUGCAGCAGUUGGGGGCUGUCACUGCCUCACUCCUUUCUCAUGUUUCAGUGGAUCAGAUGAGCAGAGCCGGGAGCAGGAGCAGCCGCGUGCACAGUGUAAGGCAGACGGAGGCUUGGGGGUCAGGCAGGGACAGGGACUCCUGGGCAGUCCGAGCAAUCACAUCCCUUGCUGGAUUGGAGCAGCACGAGGAAAGACAUCUGUGUCCACUUUGCACAGAAUGGCCAGUGUUAAGGGAGGCCUGUAGGCUGGUUUUGAAUUUGUGUUCAAUGUUCUGUUCACUGAGGACAGUCCAAAAAAAAUAAACUGUACACAUCUUCACUGUCCACAUCCAUGUCCAGACCUGCAGCCUGCUGUCUCUGGACUCACAUUCUUAUUCUUUCAUAGGGUAAAUGUUUUCUGUCAUACAGCUGAAGUGAUCUUCUAGCUUAUCUGCUGCCAAAUCCAGUCACAGUUCAUCAUAGCCACUGCUGGAGGUACUUUGGGUUAUUUAUUGGACUGUACUGGAAUUCAGAGCACAGACAUGGAGACUCAGAGAUUUGAAAGCCCUGGCAAGACACAUACUUUGUCAGCCAAGGCAGGACAGGUUGUGCUACCUUGUGAGCAUGUGGGAACUGGUACAAUUAGACACCAAGUGUGUAAUUCCACACUUGCACAGCAUCUCUGAAUCGAGUUGGAUUACUUCCAGCCCUGUGGACAAGAGCUAUUCACUUGCUUACACCUCCUGCCAUAAAUCCAAGAUGCUUUCCCUGCUUGGUUUUGCCCUGCUGCUGCAUUACACAGCCAAUGACCUCCUUGUUUGCGCCCCGAUACUGGUGAAUGACGAGUUUAACAAGAUUUAUCCUGCCUACGUAUUUGUCUAAAGCUGUUGCCUUUAAUCCAGCCACUGAAAAGAAUAUUCUUUACCUACUGGAAAACACAGUGUCUACGCUUUCAUGGGCCUUGCCUGGAAUUUGAAUGUGCCUCUGUUUAUGAAAGAUGUUACUCUCUGAGAGAGGAAAAAGUGUGUAAAACUAUUUACUGCUAGUUUCUGAUUUGUUCCAUAUCUCUUGCAGCUUGAAUGAAAACUCAUUCAAGAGUUCUCAUUCAAGAAAGGUCCAGCUUUCCAAGUCCACGAAAUUACUUUACCUUAAGUUCAUUAACUACCCAGCUUUGUUUGUUUUCCUCAGUCUUUUCCCACAGAUUUCUAAGGUGAUUUAUUCAAAAUGUGUUAAGUAACCUAUUAAGAACUGUUCUUAAAUGCAAUUUCAGUAUUUUAUGAUAAAAAACCAUCUUGAGGUGCUGAUUCUCAAACCAAAAAUGGAGCAGCUUCACCUUGCUACAGCGUCACUCCGGAGUGUGAAAGAUAUCAAUAACAGAGAGGGUUUGAAUUCCAUACAAAUCUUUCUCUAUCAAGAAAAGGCUUUAAUUAAAAAGCAAGUGUGCUGUUUUUCAUUUUAAGAUGCUGGAACUCUUUAGCAUUUGGCAAGUUCAGACUGAUGCUUCAAGUGUUAAGGUGAAAGCUGCCCAUUUAUGACCUGUAAUGAAUAUUUCAUUUUCUCUCCAUAUUGGAAACAAUAAAAAUUCAAAUGCAAUGAAAAUUAACUGUAAUAAUGACACUAUCAGUCUUGAAGUAAAGCAUUUAUUAGUAUCACCUGGAAAAUGUAUCACAUGCCACCUGCCACCAUUUAGACCACUUCAGAUACUUUACAAAGCUUUAGUAAAAUCAGAAUGUUUACAAUUAAUUUUCAACCAACAUAGAAAGAUUUAUAGUUUUUAUUGAAGCAGUAAAAAAAAGGUCAUCUUUGACUGUGACUUGCUCUCAAUGACAUGGGAUACAUGAAAUCAAUGCCCACAGAAACAUCUCUUCCAAGCCCUUCCCACUAAGAUUUAGAGUAUGAGGCAGCUAUUUUCUGGUGGUGAAUGCUCCAAUUGCUGUGUGCUCACUGGCAAAACAUCUGCUUUUGCAGAUCCCUUUGCUCCACGGCAGUCACACAAUUUAGAAUGUUGCAAAGAAAACCUGCCUCAAAUGAAGUCAAUGCAAUCUUCCCAUAGUUUUCAAGUGUGUUUGGAUCAAGGGUGCCUAGGUUUUUACACGCCAAUCAACAGAAUACCAUAAGAACUCUUGGAAUGUUGUAUCUUUUAAUUCUGGGGAAUGUAAUAACAAAUGAAGGCAAGCUAUAUGAUUACUAAUGUAAUUUUUAGUUGUGAAGGCAGUACUUCCAAAACCAAAAUCCUCUGUUAAUAGUUGUCAAGAAUAUCCUUUCCCCCUUUUUACUCUAAGUACUACAAAGUGAUUAGAAUUUCUGAAGUAAAAGUUUAAGUGAAGUAUAUGUUCUUCAACUCACUUAGCACUGACAGGCCAAAAACUCACCGAGCACAAAUGACCAAAACCUGGGAACCACAGGAGAUCAGUCUGCUGAGAUACAUCAAGGUGCACAUGUCAGUAUGAAUGGUGUUUGGGAAUUCUAGAUAUCAUUGCAGGAACUUUGGCUUGAGCAGCAUUUUUAACUGUUGGUCAGAGUUUCAUUAAUUCCCAUACAUUCUAGUCCCUGCUGUUCCCAAAAGAGUAUGUUCAGUGAAUGAGAGCUCAGGUUGAAAAGUAAUUCAUAGUUGAGUUUUUGCUCUUUUAUCCAAUAAAAACUGGCUAUACUGAGAAAAGUGACUAUGGGUAUCCUGUAUCAGCUGUAUAAAUUGUAUUGUUUAAGUGUUGCAUGUAAGUGCUACAAUCCCAACUGGAUUUGUGAUUUAGUAAUUAGAACAUUAUUCUGGAUUGGGCCUUGGCUCAGAUUUUCAUCCUCAAAUACAGACAGUUAAUGUUGAACUAAUUGAGUUGCUUGCAAGAAGACAAACUUCUGUUGUGGUUUUUCAGUCUUGCAGCAGGACGAGUCAGUAUGUUGGUGCAAAAUUAAUCAUGUAUAAUUGAAGAAAAUUGCUUAUAUGUAACCAGAAAGAACUGAAGUGAUACCAGAAUAUUUAUACAUCUAACUAUGAAAUACCUUGUAGUAAAAAAAUCCAGAGAAAAUGUGAUAUCAGUGAAACUUGUCUGAAAUGACUAAUAAAAAUAUGCUGCUUAAA
rnacentral:lncRNA from 1 species